ACUAUUCACUACGUCCAACGUCAUCUUUUCUUCUUUCCGGAACUAUUCACUACGUCCAAAAUAGUUCCGGAAAGAAGAAAAGAUGACGUUGGACGUAGUGAAUAAUU
rnacentral:pre_miRNA from 1 species